UACGGAGGGGGCUAGCGUUGUUCGGAAUUACUGGGCGUAAAGCGCGCGUAGGCGGCCCGGUAAGUCCGUUGUGAAAGUCGAAGGCUCAACCUUCGAAAGCCGAUGGAUACUGCCGGGCUAGAGUACGGAAGAGGCGAGUGGAAUUCCUGGUGUAGCGGUGGAAUGCGCAGAUAUCAGGAGGAACACCAAUAGCGAAGGCAGCUCGCUGGGACGUUACUGACGCUGAGGCGCGAAAGCGUGGGGAGCGAACAGG
rnacentral:rRNA from 1 species